UGAGAUUAAUUAAAAUCUCAAUUAGGUUCCAUUUAAACACAAUUUAAAGUUGCAGAUUAUAACAAAAUGACAUCUGUACAUCUUCCAAAUCCAAAGCAGUCAAUCUGAUCAUGUUUCUAACACUGCCACACUGCAGUACUUUCACUGACACAUAUCUGCUUUCUCUACUGGGCACAAUGAAAUCUGCAAUUUCUCUGCCUAGAACAAUUAAUAUUCAGUAUUCUGAACACCUUUGACUGCCACUGAGCUGUGAGAGAGGAGGAAACGGCCCCUCAUGGGAUCAUGCCUGGCACAAGAAGUAACAACAUAAAAAAGACAGCUAAGCUUCACAAACCUCCCAGUUACGAUGAACAAUGCAGGUAGGUGUUUUUUUGAUGCAGUCAUUUUUUCCUGGGCUUAAGGUGUGCUCAGAAUUACCCAGCUGCAGUUCAGCAGUCACACCUAUUUCACUUGCCUGGCCUAUUUCUGUUUGAAUAAAACCCAAGGCUGAAAGCCCCUUUUCCUCUUGCUUUGUCCCCUUAACAUCACCUUUUUAUCUUCACAACACCCUUUGAAGGGUAUUUACUGAAAGGAUGAGAGAGUGGUUAUCACACACAACUGAAAACUUAAAAAAAAAAAGACCAGGAAUUUCAAUAAACUUUCUCUGUAGCUAGAUCAAGGACUAGAGAUCCUCACUCCUACUGCAAACAACCUGCAGGAUCUGAGAUGAUUUCUACCCAGCUAUCUCCAGUUUACCUGUUCCAUUAAGAUAGGAUGCCUGUUUAACUGAGUUCUAGAUGAAAGUUGCAUGAACAUGCAAUUUAGAAAGCUUGCUUCAAUGAUAAAUUUAAUGGCCUUUUCAGUUUUUUAAAAAUUAGUCAAGCCUUGUUUAGGAGACAGUUUAGGUAGAACUAGAUGUACAGCGUCAACAGACCUCUACCAUUACAGCCUGGAGAGGUUUGGAUUGAAGAAGCAAGGUGGAUUAGUAGACAACUUUAAUUUCUGGGUUUACAUGUGUAUGAAUACACUUGCCACAAAAAGACUGCAUAUUCAUACUACUUUGACUCACACCAGGAACCUGCAAAAAGUAAAGAUAGUAAGUCACUCAGCACAGGGGGAAAGGCAAAAUACUUAAGAAUCAUUAACCAGCUACAGAGGCCAGAGUUGGAACUGAAGCACACCAAAAUUGUCUGACACAAUUGUAAUACCUAAUUUUCUAUGGGCAUCUCUUUGCAGCAGCCUCCUAGCCUUCCCUCCCAGCUGUGAAAAGUUGCAAGAUUUAUAUUCAAGCCCUCUGCUACUCCAGGAAAUCAAGAUGAUGAGUGUUGACAGUUGCUAGGAACACAUUUUAUGUCAGUGCAUGCAAGUGCUCAAGCACCCUGAGAAUACCAUUUGAUAACAAAAUCUGAGCUAAGACAACCCAAACCACGAAGGGAGUUCAGUUGACAACCACUCAGCCACUCACCAGAGGGAGCCCAUUUUCCCCAAAAGCCGGUAUUUGUAGUACAGCCAAUCUGCUGGUUCCUCAGAACUACCCCGUUAAAAACUCUGCAGCUGCUGGGAGGAGUAGCUGCCAACUAAGGGAGGCACACGGACAUGCUGUGAACAGGAAAGGACAGAGUGUAAAGGGUUUUUGUAGCUGCUUGAUUAGUACCUUCUGCAGCACAAAAUGUUCUUUAUUGAAGAAGUUGCUAUAUUGGAGUUUCAAAUGGAAUGUGUCUGGAAGAAACCAGUUAUGUAUCUGCAGCAUGUCACUGAUAGAGGUGAUUUUAUACUGUCCUAGGUAGGCUUCUUGUUAUUAUUUGUUAGACUGUAUUUGUGAUAUAUUGCCAUUGAACACUUUAUGCCAGGUUCUUGCAAGAAAACUAUUGAUUUUCAAUAGAAAAAUAAAGAUUUUUUCAAAGACAGACCCUUCUCACUUUACCUUUCCUCAAGGGGAGAAUCAACCUUCUAAUAUACUGGUGUACCUCAUACAUACUUUAAAGUCCAAGUGCAAAGCUUUAGUAAUAUAAUUUGCAUCUCAACUAAGCACAGAAUAAAGUCUGAGCUCAUAGCUAACACUGGAACAAGUCCUGCCCAGGAAGGACCUGCAGCUCCUUCCAGAGCCAGACUGUGUGCACACAAUGUUUGGAAUAGGGCAUGAUACAGAGGUCCCUUGGCAGAUUUCAGAACCUGGCAGAGCUGUAAAAGUGGAGAUUUUUUUGUGCUGCUGGGUGGUUUGAUUUUUUUGGUUUGGGUUUUUGUUAGUUUUUUUUUUUAAUCUUUAGCCAGGUAAACAGAAGAUCUGUGUAGCAGCAAAACUCCCCUGCUGCCUAUCCAAACAGGAAAAUCUUGCUAGUGAAGACAUACUUACAUCAGUAAGCACGUGCUCCUGGCACUAGAAGAUUAUCUACAGUUUCAUACCUUCUGAUAUCUGUCUUUUACUUUCCUUAAUAUCAUGAGAUAUUACUAAGUUACUACUUUUGCUUCUGGAGUCUUCUGUGUUUAUGUUUGUUUCCCAAAUACUGAUUAAUGUAAUUCCUCUGCACUUUUCACAGAUACUGUGAGGCAGCACUCAGUAGAUGCCAUAGCACAGACCUGAACUACUGAUAAGUAAAAAUCAAGCCCCAUUGAUUACUUGCCUUCAAUGGAAGGCAUAUUUGUUGGUGCAGUCAUUUUUAAAAUUUCCCUUUCAGGUUUGCAAUAUUGAAGCCACACAUUUUUUGCCACUUGUCAGACUAAUUCAAUAGCAAAAUCCAAGCAACAAGAAUUUGAUCUGGUCUGUAUCUUCAGAAACAUCCUGAAAUACAGCCAGCUGAUUUUUAUUUGAAGGUUUGAUUACAGAACUCAGGCUGGGUCUAUCAUCCAUUUUUGGAAAGGUUCCACAUUAAUGGGGACUCACUGGUCCAUCAUAGAUACUGAAUCUCAACACAGCACUGGAUAGACACCAGCCUACCAGAACUUCAUUGUACCAAGUUAAUCUGAGGUUGAAACAAGAAGACAAAAUAAAGAUAUUGACAUACUCAAUUACAUUUGGGAAUGAGUAUGGAAUCUGGAAAUCCCUUCGUCAGGUGCAUACAGCUUUUUGGCUCAGAAGAGCUCUUAGUGUUAAGCACACACAAAAUGGUAAAAUAUUCCACAGGCAGUCUUUAAAAUAAAGAAUUCUGUUACA